rnacentral:misc_RNA from 1 species
AAGGAUCAUUACAGAGUUCAUGCCCUCACGGGUAGACCUCCCACCCUUGAAUAUAUACCUUUGUUGCUUUGGCGGGCCGCUUCGGCUACUGGCUUCGGCUGGUGAGUGCCCGCCAGAGGACCCAAAACUCUGAAUUAUAGUGUCGUCUGAGUACUAUAUAAUAGUUAAAACUUUCAACAACGGAUCUCUUGGUUCUG